UACGGAGGGAGCAAGCGUUACUCGGAAUUAUUGGGCGUAAAGGGCUCGUAGGCGGCCCACUAAGUCAGACGUGAAAUCCCUCGGCUUAACCGGGGAACUGCGUCUGAUACUGGAGGGCUUGAGUUUGGGAGAGGGAUGCGGAAUUCCAGGUGUAGCGGUGAAAUGCGUAGAUAUCUGGAGGAACACCGGUGGCGAAGGCGGCAUCCUGGACCAACACUGACGCUGAGGAGCGAAAGCCAGGGGAGCAAACGGG
rnacentral:rRNA from 1 species